CUGGCUUACCUCCUCAGUUAUGCGUCAUGACUUGUAUCGUCUUGAGCGUAUUGUGGGUUUCCUGUGUUGCAUACCUAAUAAUGGAAUCGUUUUGGUUGAUUGAAGUCCCUUUUCAUCACGUGUUGCCUUUGCGACGCAUGAUGAACCUCGAAGCGGUCUCUAUGUUCCACCAUGUUGAUGCUAGUGUCUUGAUGUUGUGGCCCAUUGAGUGUUGCUUGGUUUCGUGGAUACAGAACAUGAUUUGGGCAUAGGGUCACCUGUGACUCUUGUUUUGUCCUUUAUCAGUGUUCUCUAUAACGACGGUUCAUGCGCGCCUAGGCUCGUACCUGCGCGAUGUUCUUUGUCGAAGAGGAAUGCUACCUGGUUGAUCCUGCCAGUAGUCAUAUGCUUGUCUCAAAGAUUAAGCCAUGCA
rnacentral:misc_RNA from 1 species